AUUGAACGCUGGCGGCAGGCUUAACACAUGCAAGUCGAGCGGAGAUGAGGUGCUUGCACCUUAUCUUAGCGGCGGACGGGUGAGUAAUGCUUAGGAAUCUGCCUAUUAGUGGGGGACAACAUUCCGAAAGGAAUGCUAAUACCGCAUACGCCCUACGGGGGAAAGCAGGGGAUCUUCGGACCUUGCGCUAAUAGAUGAGCCUAAGUCGGAUUAGCUAGUUGGUGGGGUAAAGGCCUACCAAGGCGACGAUCUGUAGCGGGUCUGAGAGGAUGAUCCGCCAGACUGGGACUGAGACACGGCCCAGACUCCCACGGGAGGCAGCAGUGGGGAAUAUUGGACAAUGGGCGGAAGCCUGGUCCAGCCAUGCCGCGUGUGUGAAGAAGGCCUUUUGGUUGUAAAGCACUUUAAGCGAGGAGGAGGCUACCUGGAUUAAUACUCUAGGAUAGUGGACGUUACUCGCAGAAUAAGCACCGGCUAACUCUGUGCCAGCCGCCGCAGUAAAAC
rnacentral:rRNA from 1 species